rnacentral:rRNA from 1 species
UACGUAGGUGGCGAGCGUUGACCGGAAUUACUGGGUGUAAAGCGCGUGUAGGCGGGAGGCCAAGUCUGUGGUGAAAUCGCUCGGCUUAACUGGGCGGGGUCCAUGGAAACUGGUCACCUGGAGGUCGGUAGAGGCAAGUGGAAUUCCCGGUGUAGUGGUGAAAUGCGUAGAGAUCGGGAGGAACACCAGUGGCGAAGGCGGCUUGCUGGGCCGGACCUGACGCUGAGACGCGAAGGCGUGGGGAGCGAACGGG